rnacentral:rRNA from 1 species
GACGAACGCUGGCGGCGUGCUUAACACAUGCCAGUCGAACGGGCUCUGUCUGGCUGUGUGCUGGGUGGGGUUAGUGGCGAACGGGUGAGUAAUACGUGAGUAACCUGCCCUCUUCUUUGGGAUAAGCCUUGGAAACGGGGUCUAAUACUGGAUAUUCCUGUCUGGUCGCAUGGCUGGGUGGGGAAAGUUUUUUUCGGUGGGGGAUGGGCUCGCGGCCUAUCAGCUUGUUGGUGGGGUGAUGGCCUACCAAGGCGUCGACGGGUAGCCGGCCUGAGAGGGUGACCGGCCACACUGGGACUGAGAUACGGCCCAGACUCCUACGGGAGGCAGCAGUGGGGGAUAUUGCACAAUGGGCGAAAGCCUGAUGCAGCGACGCCGCGUGGGGGAUGACGGCUUUCGGGUUGUAAACCUCUUUCGUCGGGGGACAAGGCUCUGCUUGGUGGUGGGGUUGAGGGUACCCGGUGAAGAAGCGCCGGCUAACUACGUG